ACACACGCGGCUGGGUGGCGGGUUCGAGUUGCUGUAGCUGCGAGUCCGUCCGUGCAGAGUCGGUUGCACCGUGGCGUCAGCUAGGGUAUUGUACCUUGUAUUCACUACAGUAUCUUCCAUCUAGGGCCCAUACUGUCCAGUGAAGAGGCUGUGCUGCUAGAUUUAAACAGAGUCUGAAGCUAUUGCUGUGAUUGAUCUUCCAUUAUCUGGCCUGAAAGACAUUCAGGGAAAGAGGAAGAGAUGGCAGAUUCUUGGAAAAAAUACAAGAACCUUCCACCAAAGAGCAGCAUAACUUGCACAGGAAUUAUCAAAG